UUCUUGCCUUUUGUAGUCCUGUGCAGUGAAAAUAACUCGUUUCUUUUCCAAGUGAAGAACAACCUUGCUGCAUUUCCAGAUUCUUUCUCCUUUUCUUUGAUGGGAGAAAUAUCAAAGUGAGGAGGAAGCGGCUCUUGGUUGGGAAAAGCGUGUCAAAAAAGCUGUUUCUUACAGAGAAGCAUAGGCAGCACAUCCAAGUGAAAUGGCCAACGAGGUAUUUUAUCUAAAUUGCCUUCUCUUAUGCUGUUAGGGCUGUAAACUUUAGAAUAAGAGUGCACCUGAUGGUGUUAAAUAUUGACCAAGGGAUUAUGAUGGUGAUCUAAUGGUUAUUUCUUUGAUAUGCUGAAGAAACUCUCUAUUGUGCUGAAGAGCAACUUCAUGGAUCCACUUUUAACCAUGCUCCUUUGAUGGAAAGGGCAACUAAAUAAAUCCCUUUGUCAUUGUUCUUUAUUUAUUCUGGUCCUGGGAGUUGAAAUUUGGAUUAUGAAGUUGCAAAUGUCUUUCCUUUUUUAAUUUGUUAUUAUUCCACUAAUGAAGGAAAGUUCAGUCGCAAACACUUGUAAGGAGGACUCAUCCAUUGAACAAACUGCUUAUUUUCCUCCUUAACUUUUGUGCAUGCACGAGUUUGCUUUCAAAUUCCUGUCGAAAGAUAUAUUUUUUCUCUUCAUCUUGUCCUAAUGUUGCUUUUAGCUUGAAUUGCUGACAUCCUUGAAGGUAGGAUGCUGGUCUGUAUUUUGAGUUUUUCACUGAGUAUAUUAAGCCAUUUGAUCCAUUAGAAAAUUUAUGGGCAAUAAAAUCAAAUUUGUUCCUGAUCUCAAUGGUGCUGAGGUUUUCAUGCAUUGGCUUGCACUUAUAUAGCGUCAUAAUUUCAUUAUUUGUUGGUUUACCUUUGAAACAUAAAGCAGAGUGGUGACGAAGAGGAACGGGUGCCAGAGCAAGAGCCAGAACGGGAGUAUACACCUGCUGGACGCGCUCUAAAGCAAUACCUCAAAGCAGAGAGGCCUCCCACAAGUCUGCAGAGCAAAGAACUGCUGAGAAAUUGCUACAAUAUUGUCCCAGUCAGCUAGCCGGGUCCCAGAUGAUGUUGGUGCUAGUAAUGCACUUGCACCGAGGAAGGCCAGCCAAUCUUCCAUACUGAGCCUAUCUUUCCCACCGACCCGCACCCCAUCUGACGUUUUAGAGAGAAAUUCAUGGCAAUAACAUCAUAUUUAUGGACAACCGGAGUAUCUCUCUCCUCAGACCAGAGGAUCUGCUAAAGUGGACCUUGCAGAGUCCCAAGACUCUUACCUGUGCCAGGUGUCUCUGCCAGGGGCAAGAAAAUAUCCAGUACGUACCUAAUACCCAACUUAAUAGGUACUCAACAAAGUCAUGAUAACAACUAAUAUUCACCAGAGUGAGGAAUCCAGAAAGAUAUUUUCUUUUUCUUGUAUGGUGUUAUUUCUUCAUUCUCGAGACUUUCAAUUCAUAUGGUGAUCUGAAGGUAAUGACACAUUCUUUGAAUUUUGCUUUUAUGCUGCCGCAUUUAGUUGUGAACUCGACACGGACAGUGAGGUCUUGAUUGAAGGAGAAGCAAGAACAGAAAACCUUCAUCAAUCGGGACACAUGACUCUCUCCUUUCACCUGCUGUUCAUCCCAACAAACCUCAACUUUGGUGCGGAUGGGAUCUUGAAGGGAGCUGUCAAGAAGCUGAUCAAUACCAGAUGACUGUCAGGCAGCUCAGACUUUAUGGAAUACGCAAGUAGAAUUCCUGUGUGCAGUUCUAACGGAGUACUUGUUCGAAAAAAGUAAUGUUAAACAUACCCCGUAAUGGCUUUUUUCUUUACUUGGAA